rnacentral:rRNA from 1 species
AUUGAACGCUGGCGGCAUGCUUUACACAUGCAAGUCGAACGGUAACAGGCCGCAAGGUGCUGACGAGUGGCGAACGGGUGAGUAAUGCAUCGGAACGUGCCCAGUCGUGGGGGAUAACUACUCGAAAGAGUAGCUAAUACCGCAUACGAUCUAUGGAUGAAAGCGGGGGACCGUAAGGCCUCGCGCGAUUGGAGCGGCCGAUGUCAGAUUAGGUAGUUGGUGGGGAAAAGGCUCACCAAGCCAACGAUCUGUAGCUGGUCUGAGAGGACGACCAGCCACACUGGGACUGAGACACGGCCCAGACUCCUACGGGAGGCAGCAGUGGGGAAUUUUGGACAAUGGGCGCAAGCCUGAUCCAGCAAUGCCGCGUGCAGGAAGAAGGCCUUCGGGUUGUAAACUGCUUUUGUACGGAACGAAACGGCUCUGGUUAAUACCCGGGGCUAAUGACGGUACCGUAAGAAUAAGCACCGGCUAACUACGUG